rnacentral:tRNA from 1 species
ACUUAGAUAGUUUAAUAAAAACGUUGAUUUGUGGUGUCAGAAAUAUAAUAAUUAUUCUAGGUU